GCCCUUAUAGCUCAGUGGUAGAGCGCAACACGUACGUACCUCUCAAAAACAGCUCCCAUUUCAUUGUUACUAAUAGAUCCUAGUUGUAUCAUACCUCGAUAUGUUGAGGCCCGCGUCGAUCCCGCGUGGGGGCA